UACCAGCACCCCGAGUGGUCGGGACGAUUAUUGGGCCUAAAGCAUCCGUAGCCGGUUUUACAAGUCCUCUGUUAAAUCCAGCUGCUUAACAGAUGGGCUGCGGAGGAUACUAUAAGACUAGGAGGCAGGAGAGGCAAGCGGUACUCAGUGGGUAGGGGUAAAAUCCGUUGAUCCAUUGAAGACCACCAGUGGCGAAGGCGGCUUGCCAGAAUGCGCUCGACGGUGAGGGAUGAAAGCUGGGGGAGCAAACCGG
rnacentral:rRNA from 1 species